GGGGACCCGCAAGCGGUGGAUGAUGUGGAUUAAUUCGAUGCAACGCGAAAAACCUUACCUACCCUUGACAUGGCAGGAAUCCCCGAGAGAUCGGGGAGUGCUCGAAAGAAAACCUGCACACAGGUGCUGCAUGGCUGUCGUCAGCUCGUGUCGUGAGAUGUUGGGUUAAGUCCCGCAACGAGCGCAACCCUUGUCAUUAGUUGCUACGAAAGGGCACUCUAAUGAGACUGCCGGUGACAAACCGGAGGAAGGGGGGGAUGACGUCAAGUCCUCAUGGCCCUUAUGGGUAGGGCUUCACACGUCAUACAAUGGUACAUACAGAGGGCCGCCCACCCGCGAGGGGGAGCUAAUCCCAAAAAGUGUAUCGUAAUCCGGAUUGUAGUCUGCAACUCCACUGCAUGAAGUUGGAAUCGCUAGUAAUCGCGGAUCAGCAUGUCGCGGUGAAUACGUUCCCGGGUCUUGUACACACC
rnacentral:rRNA from 1 species